UGGGGAAUAUUGCACAAUGGGCGAAAGCCUGAUGCAGCGACGCCGCGUGCGGGAUGAAGGCCUUCGGGUUGUAAACCGCUUUUGAUUGGGAGCAAGCGAGAGUGAGUGUACCUUUCGAAUAAGCACCGGCUAACUACGUGCCAGCAGCCGCGGUAAUACGUAGGGUGCAAGCGUUAUCCGGAAUUAUUGGGCGUAAAGAGCUCGUAGGCGGUUUGUCGCGUCUGGUGUGAAAGUCCAUCGCUUAACGGUGGAUCUGCGCCGGGUACGGGCAGGCUAGAGUGCGACAGGGGAGACUGGAAUUCCCGGUGUAACGGUGGAAUGUGUAGAUAUCGGGAAGAACACCAAUGGCGAAGGCAGGUCCCUGGGUCGUCACUGACGCUGAGGAGCGAAAGCGUGGGGAGCGAACAGGAUUAGAUACCCUGGUAGUCCACGCCGUAAACGGUGGAUGCUGGAUGUGGGGCCCAUUCCACGGGUUCCGUGUC
rnacentral:rRNA from 1 species